UCAACAUCCAUGAUUGUCAAAAGUCUCUGUCAAUUCAUGUGUUUCUCCGCGAGCAAUAUCCACAAAAGAGGGACACAUUGAAAUUAGUCUUGGGUUGCGUCUUUUAUCGCGAUAUCGUUAAUAAAUAUAAGAGAUGUUGCUGAAGUUAUUAUAUGGACGGCACAUAGAUUGAUUGGUAAAAAGAUGAACGUAUGACAAGUAACGUAUAACGUAACAUGUGUUUUUACAAUUCCGUAUGGAAAGUAUGAAAAAUUCUUCUUUGAAAUUGUGUUUCUUAUCCUUGUAAUUUUGCACACUUUAUAUCGAGAUGUUUUAUAAUCGGCUUAAAUUCAUCUUAAUAAAGAAGAAAAAAUAUAGAAUACACUAAAAGAAACACUUGUGUACGACAGAUCUUUUAUAUCGAUUGUGAAACUGAAUUUUCUACUUGUUCGUCUACUACAAAGAUUACUACGAACUUUUUGUCGACUCAGGGACAACGAAACAGAGUAUAUCCUACUCCGCACUCCGUCGACAACUGGAAUGAGCGUGGCUCUUUGCUUGCAGUGAUUUUUAUUAGCCUGUCCAAGUCAAACACAAUUGUGCUAGAUAGUGCCAACUUUCUUGCCAACGGAGAUAUAUAUACAAUUUCUUGAAAACCAAUAAUAAUAGGACUUUACCUAGUCGUUGACCAAUCAUGAAACUUUCAGAAGAAGAAUAAUGGUUGAAUUAAGCAGGAUACAUCCCCAUAAAUAUGUUAUUCAAAAUGGAGUGAGAAACAUUGUUCUUUACAUCUCUUUCUUUUAUUUUCCCUUAAUCAUUAUUAUAUUAUGUCAUCUACAAUUAUAUUUUGUUUAAAAAUGAAGGAUUUAUAGGGAUUAGUAGACGGGGAUGUGUAUUAUCCGUUUAAAUUAUAUUUCGAAGUGCUCUUUGGAAAAUUCAGCAUACUCGAUCAAGAAUAUUUGAACAAUAAUAAAACAUGUCUCUUUCGAUGAAUAAUUUACAUAUAUUUGAUUUAAAUAAAAUCAAUGUAAUGUUUAGAGAAAUACUAAAUUUAUAAAGAAUUAUCAAUUUCCCGGCUCUAUUAAAUGCGUUAAUUAGAGAAACAUACAAAAUUAUGUGGAUUAACUCGAGAAAUUAAAUAUACGUAAAAAAACUCUACUGACAUGUGAUAAGAAAACUUAAUGGAGGUAUGAGUGAAGAGCCUACUACUAGAUGCUUUCGUUGGAAAAUUAUUAUAACUGCAAGAUGAACUUCCAACAAUGUAAUGGGAAACGCUGUUCUCUACACUUUUAUAAGGCAGCUGUGUAUACAAGGCAUUAAUUGGAUAAGCAUUAUUUAGAAGAUAAGCGGUGGAACUACUAGACGAUCCCAUAGAUCUUAAAUACUCUUCUCGUUUCUUUGUUGUAGCUUGUCUUUGAAUUGUUGUAGUUGGAACAUUUAACACCUAUGAUGAUUAAAAUAUAAAUAAGUAUAAGAGGACUGUAACUAUCUUCUGUAGGAUAAAAUACGCUAGUUGAACUGUACGAAGUAGUACUAUGUUCUUGCAUUACCUGAAAAUAUAAAAUAAUAUGUAAGCGGUAGGGACAUUCUAAUAAUAUAAUAAAUUUUACUUUUUCUGGUCGAAGUCUUGAAAAUAAAGAGGUGGGACAUUGAGUUCUUGGCUUUGAUAUCUUAGUUCCCUUUAAUAAUGGCGAUGAUUGUAUACAUUCUAUUAAAAUAGCUUCGUCGUCCGAAUGAUUUGGACUAUCAUCCGAAAAUUCCUUUUCAUUUUCCAUUGAUAUAUGGCAUAAAGGUUUAAUUAUUACAGGAUUUUUAUUGUUAGAAGUCGAUUCAACGGGAGAUGAUGAAGGUGUCCCACAUAUAUUAAAUUUUGGUGGUACGGUCUCAGGUUUUUUCACGCAAGGUAUACUUUUCGUUGGAGAAUAUACCUUUGGUAUACCCGAUUGAAUGCAUUCAUCAAGAAUUUUUUCAUCUUCGUCAGAAAGAUUAUAACUUUCAUCCGAAAGAUCAUUUCUGUGGCAUUCAAGUUCUGAAGAUUUAAUUGGUUCAAUUUUCUCUAUAUCUUCUGGAACACUUGGCAUAGAUAAGACAGAAAGAUUUGAUUGUGAACCAACCGGAGAAAUACCUGCUGGUGUAUCUUCUGUACAAUAAACAUGUACUGUAUCUGGGACAACAACAAUUUCCAUUGGUGGUUUACAAAUUUUAGAGACAGCCGGUGACUCUCCAGGAGAAACAGAAACACAAGCUUGUGAUCUAUUUAAUGGUGACUUUUUGUCGCAUGACAUUAAGACACUUGUUGAUUUAGAAUGCGUAGAUUUUGGAAUACUUUCGGUUUUUAAGGAUUGUCUGUAUCUGUAGUGUAUAUAUAGUUAUUGUCGUGUAUAUAAUGUUUGCACAUGCAAUUAAUAUUACAGAAUAAUUAGAAUACCUAUUAUUUUGUAUUCCCAUACUAAUACAAGCAGCUAGCAUAUCUUCAUCAUCUUCAUCGCCAUCACUUAUUUGUUCUGGUUGUUUUUCAACUUCAAGAACAUUUACUUUUACAAAAGAUGUACUUUUAUCGAUAUUUUGAUGGAUUGGUUCUGAUAUUUCUUUCAAUUUAUCUUCACUUUUGGGAUAAUCAGAACUUUUAACUUCAUCGUCAAUAGUUAAAGAACUCAGACUUGUGGUGGUAGAAAAUUCUAUUGGUGUUGAUUCUUCUUUAAAAGUAGCAAUAUCAUCUUCGAAAACACUACUCCUUUUUACACCAUAUUUUGAACACACUGAAACAAAUAAAUAUUUAAUAUAUUGUAUUGUGAUAAUUAUGUAGAAAUAGGAAGCUUGUGUAGCUUUACUAAUUAGCAAAAUUGUUAGUAUGUAUAUUAAUGUUUUUGUUAAAAUAUAUACCCUAAUAGUAUAUUCAAUAUCAUUGCAUACAUAAAUGAGAAUGCGAUGGUUUUACUUCUUCUUCUUGCAUUUUAUUCAUAAAAUCUGUAGUUUUUAUUUUUUGUAUUCUGGGGCUGGGUGGUACAGUUUGGGUUGGAGAAUCUGGCAAUUCACUUGGCGAAACAACUCCACUUGUUCUACGGCUAAAAGAAAAAUACUUCAAAUAGUAAAAACAAUUUAAAAAUAUACAACUUGUAAUGUAUACAAAUUAUGUCGUAUGUACCUGAAAUCACUGACAACGGAGCUACGGUCAUCAUGUAUAGAAUGCUGUUCGAAACCACUCAAUGAACCAAGAGAACUACAACGUGAAAACAUUAGAGGUGUUUGUUCAGCAUAAAAAUCUUGUCCACUGAAUGUUACCAUUUUUCCUGAAGAUAAUAUCAAGGUUUAAUAUCGAAGAAAAAAUAGAUAAUCUUUUAAUUUUUAACACAAACUUUAAAAGACAUACCUUCUUUAUCGACAAUACGUGAACUAUUUUUACUUUCCAUAGGACUAUUGCUUAUUGAAUUAGAGAUUAAUUCAUUCCUAUUUAAUUCUGUUACAUUAGAAUUACUUGUUUCUGGUUCUGAUUUACUCAUAGAAUUCUCUAAACUUGCUUUUGAUAUUAUUUCAGAUACAUUAUUGCGUUGUGCUAUUUCACUGUUAAAAGAACUGAGCGAAUUAACACAGGAAGAACUACUAAAUUCUUCUUCUUUAUAAUAACUAAUUGGCUUUUCAGGAAUCAUAUGAUUCGAGCUUAUACUAAUAAUAUGCUUUUGUCUCUCUGUACUUUCUGAUAUUAAAUGUUGUUGCUCGUGACAUUCUUCUGUUCUUCUAUCCUCGAAAGAUAUACUUUUUUUAUGUCUAGCAUCAAGUCCUUUCUUUUGUGUCUUUUUAGAAUGAUCAUUAUCUUUUGUAUCUUCGACUCUUAAAUCAGACAUAGAUGUUGCAGUAGAAAAAUUAAAAGGUGUUUCGUAAGGUGUACCUUCUGUACAAUAUGUUUUAAUAGUAUCUUCUUGUACGCUACCGGAAAAGUAUUCUGUAGUUGGUUUCUCAUCUUCAUCAGUGUCAUUUUCUGCAUAUCUUAAACUAUAGUCCGUUGGUUGAUCAAGAUCUGUUUCUGCAUAAUCUCCAAAUAAUACUGUUUCAGAUUCACAUUCUUUAAUAUCCUCAUUUGCUGACUGAUUUUUCUGUACAUCAUUUAGAAGAUGAUUUUGCUUUAAUCUAUUUCUUUCAAUAUAUUUUUUACUGUAAUCUACUGGUUGAUCUCGUAUAUCAUCGUCAUAAGUUUCCGUUGCAUUUUCAUCCAUAUUACUUUAAUUUAACAGUUAUUUAAAUACUUUUGAAAAAUUAUUUGAAAUAAUGCAAAUCGAUAAAGGCACAGGUAUUCUCUCAAAUUAUGUUAAAAACAAUUCUCUAACAUCAUUAAAAUUCUAUUGGUAACACCUGUUUAACGAUUAAUUACAAGUUCAUUUACCUGUCAUUAAAAGGGUGAAUGCACAUGCAUUUACAUGUGGAAUGGUUGGUGCACUAAUGCCGUCAUGUGCGCUAUCUAUCGGCUAAAGCCCAUAUUAAAAAAGAUAUAUUAAUCCAUCUUGAUUUACGACAGACACAAAAAUAAUAUAAU